UACGGAAGGGUGCAAACGUUGCUCGGAAUUAUUGGGCGUAAAGCGCACGUAGGCGGCUUUGCAAGUCGGAUGUGAAAUCCCUCGGCUUAACCAAGGAAGUGCAUCCGAAACUGCAGAGCUUGAGUACUUAAGAGGAUCGCGGAAUUCCCGGUGUAGAGGUGAAAUUCGUAGAUAUCGGGAGGAACACCAGUGGCGAAGGCGGCGAUCUGGGAAGAUACUGACGCUGAGGUGCGAAAGCGUGGGAGCAACAGG
rnacentral:rRNA from 1 species